AACCAUUCUCACCUGCGGCUAGACCUGCGGAGGGAUCAUCUUUGAAUUUGAUCUCCAAUUUCCAGGCGGCCCGUGGUCCAAUUUUGGACUCGGGCUUUCUGCCAAUUCUGGGAAUUGCGCUUGUCUUUUGACGGGCGCAUUUUCCACAAACCUAACACACUAAUAGCACAACUUUUAACAAUGGAUCU
rnacentral:misc_RNA from 1 species